UUAACACAUGCAAGUCGAACGCAACCUUCGGGUUGAGUGGCGGACGGGUGAGUAACGCGUGAGAAUCUGCCUUGGGGUCGGGGACAACCACUGGAAACGGUGGCUAAUACCGGAUAAGCCUUUGGGUAAAAAAUUUAUUGCCCCAAGAGGAGCUCGCGUCUGAUUAGCUAGUUGGUGAGGUAAAAGCUCACCAAGGCAGCGAUCAGUAGCUGGUCUGAGAGGACGAUCAGCCACACUGGGACUGAGACACGGCCCAGACUCCUACGGGAGGCAGCAGUGGGGAAUUUUCCGCAAUGGGCGAAAGCCUGACGGAGCAAGACCGCGUGAGGGAGGAAGGCUCUUGGGUUGUAAACCUCUUUUCUCAGGGAAGAAGCUCUGACGGUACCUGAGGAAUCAGCCUCGGCUAACUCCGUGCCAGCAGCCGCGGUAAUACGGAGGAGGCAAGCGUUAUCCGGAAUUAUUGGGCGUAAAGCGUCCGCAGGUGGCGAUUCAAGUCUGCUGUCAAAGCACGGGGCUUAACUCCGUUAAGGCAGUGGAAACUGAAUAGCUAGAGUGCCGUAGGGGUAAGAGGGAAUUCCCGGUGUAGCGGUGAAAUGCGUAGAGAUCGGGAAGAACAUCGGUGGCGAAAG
rnacentral:rRNA from 1 species